GAUGAACGCUAGCUACAGGCUUAACACAUGCAAGUCGAGGGGAAACGACAUUGAAGCUUGCUUCGAUGGUCGUCGACCGGCGCACGGGUGAGUAACGCGUAUCCAACCUGCCUCUGACCAAGGGAUAACCCGUCGAAAGUCGGCCUAAUACCUUAUGCAGUCGUCGGAAGUCAUCUGAUGACGACGAAAGAUUUCAUCGGUGAGAGAUGGGGAUGCGUCUGAUUAGCUUGUUGGCGGGGUAACGGCCCACCAAGGCAACGAUCAGUAGGGGUUCUGAGAGGAAGGGCCCCCACAUUGGAACUGAGACACGGUCCAAACUCCUACGGGAGGCAGCAGUGAGGAAUAUUGGUCAAUGGGCGAGAGCCUGAACCAGCCAAGUAGCGUGCAGGAUGACGGCCCUAUGGGUUGUAAACUGCUUUUAUGCGGGGAUAAAGUGAGGGACGUGUCCUUCAUUGCAGGUACCGAAUGAAUAAGGACCGGCUAAUUCCGUG
rnacentral:rRNA from 1 species